rnacentral:rRNA from 1 species
UGCCAGUUAUUGAGCUGUCGCAGGCCCAGCCUGAGAGUUGCAGGUGAGUUAUGUCAAACCAGCAGAUCGCACAGCUUUGCUGGCGAUGGGCUGCUCGAGUUUCUGACCUAUCAGCUUCCGACGCUAGAGUCUUGGCCUACCGUGGCAAUGACGGGUGACGGAGAAUUAGGGUUUGAUUCCGGAGAGGGAGCCUGACAAAUGGCUACCACAUCUAAGGAAGGCAGCAGGCGCGCAAAUUACCCAAUUUUGACAAAAGGAGGUAGUGACAAGAAAUAACAAUAUGGGGCAUCCAUGUCCUGUAAUUGGAAUGAGCAUAACCCAAACCAUUGUGUGAGUAUCCAUUGGAGGGCAAGUCUGGUGCCAGCAGCCGCGGUAAUUCCAGCUCCAAUAGCAUAUAUUAAAGCUGCUGCGGUUAAAAAGCUCGUAGUUGGGCUUCUGUCGAGAGCAUCCAGUCCGACUUCUGGGUGUGCACUUGGACUGCUUUCGGCAUCUUCAUGGUAAGCGCGAUUGCACUUGAUUGUGUGGCGCGACUUCCAUGUCAGUUACUUUGAGGAAAUUGGAGUGUUUGCAGCAGGC